UACGAGGGGGGCGAGCGUUGUUCGGAAUUAUUGGGCGUAAAGGGUGCGUAGGCGGUUUGGUAAGUCUCGUGUGAAAUCCCCGGGCUCAACUCGGAGCCUGCACGAGAAACUGCCGGGCUUGAGUGUGGGAGAGGUGAGUGGAAUUCCUGGUGUAGCGGUGAAAUGCGUAGAUAUCAGGAGGAACACCUGUGGCGAAAGCGGCUCACUGGACCAUAACUGACGCUGAUGCACGAAAGCUAGGGGAGCAAACAGG
rnacentral:rRNA from 1 species